ensembl:lncRNA
CUGCUGUAUAAUUCUCUACUCCUAACUCAUUAUCCUCGGAGGCAAUGGCACCCUACUCCAGUACUCUUGCCUGGAAAAUCCCAUGGAUGGAGGAGCCUGGCAGGCUACAGUCCAUGGGGUCACUAAGAGUCGGACACGACUGAGCGACUUCACUUUCACUUUUCACUCUCAUGUAUUGGAGAAGGAAAUGGCAACCCACUCCAGUGUUCUUGCCUUGAGAAUCCCAGGGACAGGGGAGCCUGGUGGGCUGCCAUCUAUGGGGUCGCACAGAGUCGGACACGACUGAAGCGACUUAGCAGCAGCAGCAGCAACUCAUCAUCCUAGUCAAUUGGGCUCCGGCCCCGAAAACCAAGUGUCUGAGGUGGGGUGGGCCUCCCCAGUCACUCAUUUAUUCAUUCAACACACACCACCCCCGACCCUGCCCCGGCUCCCCAGGCCUGGUGCUGGGGAUGCCCAAGGGUGUGAGAUACAGCGUAGGAUGAGACGCGAUGUCUAGAGAGCCCCAGCGCAGGGGUUUGGAUAUGGACAUCUGGGAGAGAGUCCGGCCUCCGGAGCUGUGGGGUGAGAAUCCCUGGGAACUUCUCCUCCGUAAAGUUGGAGACAGCCGAGCAGGAGGCGGGGACUUAGGGCGAAAGCCCCGGGCACCAGAGUAGCGCAGGCAGGACCUGCGCAUGCGUGGGAGGAGACUUUGGCGUCCUCCAGUGUCGUCAAGGUAACCGUGAUCGCUGCAGCUGGCCAUGGCCUCAGGAAUUGGAGGGAGCUGGAGUCAACCCCAGCACAGCUGCUUAACCUGUGAGCCUCAGUUUUCCCACCUGCAGAAUAAGGAAUAAAUGUCUCCAAAGUGCUUUGCUUGCUUGUCUUAAAUGCUCAAAAAACAGGAGCCGUUUUGAGCUGUGUAUCUGAAGAAAUAAUUCAGAGGAAUGGAGGACCAGGGGCAGGGAGAAUCUGACGCUGUAUUGUCUCCCCUCCCAUCUUGCACAAUCCCCAGGUCUCCCUGGAGGUUCAACACCAGGAGGAGACGGAACCCCAGGAGGAGGGGCCUCUGGUUUUCCACCACCACUACCUGCCCUGCACCAUGCCUGCCCUGGGGCCCCUGCUCCCCUGGCCAGGCCCUCUCCUUUCCCUCCCUACACCAGCCCGUGCAGGAUUCAGCUGAGAUUCAGCAUCACCCUCCUGCGCCUGGAAAAAGGGGGGUGAGAGCGGUGCCCCCACCUCCACCGCCCAGUGCCACGGGAACUGUGGGUGCAGAUGUACCUCCAGCUUCAGGUAGGGACCAGGUGGGUGGUCAGCAGGGCCCAGGCCAAGGGGUGGAUCUGAAGGCUGGGAGGGCCAUGUGCCCUGAGGUGGGGGGCAUGUCGUAUUGUCAUCAUUACAGACAGCGGGUCUGUCCCCUUAACUCGCCCUUGGGGCCCACUGAGGAUGCUUCUCCCCCCAGACUACUACGAUGCUGAGAGCCCAUAAUGAGGACAGACAGCAGCCCUGGGGCCAGGCCAGCUUCAUUGAAGAGUUGGAAACAGCCACCCUGGAGUCCCCAUGUCCAUCUCAUGCCUAACAACCCUUUCUACACCUGCCAACCCUUCUUACCCCUAUCCCCAACCAGGCCGUCUCCCCAGGGUGGAUGAGUCCCAUGUCCACCACACGGAGACCUUGAAUCAACCUGAUAUCUGAUCCAUGGUGAGAGCCCCUUUGAGCCCUGUCCAAGUCCCAGAAGCCAUGUGAAACCCCAACCCUGUCCCAUUGAUCGCUGCCCCGGCUGGCAGAGGCCUGGGAGAUGGAGCCCUCCGUCGACCUCCUCCCCUUCCCCUCUCUCUGGAUGACCAGGGCUGCGGGGUCUCCAUUUGGCCCAAUAACAGAACUGGAGGUAGAGGUGAGGACAGGCCCGGCCAGAGAGGAAGAGACUUGACAGAGAACUGGGAGGCCGUGGGGGCGCAGAGGGGAGAAGCUCCUCCAGGUUUAGGGGCUCCCCAUCCCUUCCCCGCCUGCCUGACUGAGCCCCCUUCCCCCCCAGCCCUGGGUGACCAUUCUGCAGCCCCUCCCGUGGACCAUCCCACCUACAUCCCCGCAGCCAGGCCGCGUGAAGGAAGGUGAGACUCCGGGAGUUCUCCAUUUUGUACCCUGCUCUGCCCGCCACAUUCUCUGGGCGCCCGCCACCCGACCCAUCCACUCCCGGGGCAGGACGCUGGGGAAAUGACCCUGGCGUCGCCAGCAAGGGCAGGGGAAGGGCUGGCGGGGGCCUGCUGAACUCCGGUCCCCUAGACCUGCUGGAGCUGAUGAUGCUACAGAACGUUCAGAUGAACCAGCUCUUUCUGAGUGGCCAGGUGGCAGCGGUGCUCAACCAGGGGCUUUCCUGGACUAACCCACAGGUGCGUUGCCUGGGAGUGGGGGUAGACUGCCAGAGCUGCCCACCUGCAGGGACAGAGGCGGGCAAACAUUUGGGGUUCCCUCUAUCUUGAGAGAAAAAAAGAAAAUCAGGCAACAGAGGAGCCAAAGUCAGCCCACAUCUAUGUGGCUUCUCUGUUUGGCAUCUAUUAUGUGCCAGAUAGCCGUGCCAUCCUCCAUGGAGUCGAGGUAGGGGGUCCCAAAAUCCAGACCACUCAGGUCUUGUGUUCAAAGAUCCCCUGCCAGUGCAUCACCCUUUGGACUCCCAAAGACAGAGAGGCUCCACUGUACCCUGGGACUAUAGGGUACCUGAUAAAUUACUAGGGGCUCAAUUGCUUUUGUUGAACAAGUGACUGAAGAAAUGAACGACUAUGAAUACAAAGCAACUUUGGCUGUGACUGGUACAAAUUGUGAGGGCCACCUGGUUGGGGUUCCUCAGAAGAGCACGUGGCCUUAGAACCAGUCCUUAAGAGCCAGGUAGAGGACCUGGAGAAUCCCAGGGAUGGGGGAGCCUGGUGGGCUGCUGUCUACUGGGUCGUACAGAGUCAGACACUACUGAAGCGACUUAGCAGCAGCAGCAGCAGCAGAGGAAUUCCUUGGUGGUCCAGUGUUAGGACUACGAGCUUCCACUGCUGGAGAACCCGGGGUUCAAUCCCUGGUCAGGGAACUAAGAUCCCAGAAGCUUCUUGUGGGGCCAAAAGAAAAAAAAAAGCCAGGUAGGAUUCUGAUGCUUGAAGGAGGUGAGGGUGUACAGUCCACCAUCUAGGUGAACAGUGACAAAGGCAGAGACAGAAUGGAGAAACCUUGUGUACUUGUGUGUGUAUGUGUGUGGGGGUACAUGGGAGGAGCUCUAAGGAGGAGCCUUAUUUAGCAGACGAUAGGCACCCUGAGAGGUCUGCAGGAGUGACAGCUGGGUGGAGAGAGGAUGCCAGUCAGCUUGGAGGGAGCAGAGAGGAGGUUCAAGAAGGGGCUGGUCAGAGGCAGAGGGAGACCCUGAGGAGCUGCUGCCAUCCCAUCCCUUCACCCCUCCCCUGCCGGCCCUGGAGGUGGGGAUGGCCCUGGGAUGAGCACGCCACCUCAACAGGGGCAUAAGUGGAUCAGGGACUGGGGCUUGAGAUGGGCUGGGACCCGGAAGUCUUUACAGAAGUGCUUGCACCUGGACUAACCAUCAAUGGGAAACAAAGAAACUAAAAUAACUGCACAUGCGCAGCUGGGGCACUUAUGAACAAUAAGCUACAAAAGGUC